rnacentral:rRNA from 1 species
AUUGAACGCUGGCGGCAUGCCUUACACAUGCAAGUCGAACGGUAACAGGUCUUCGGAUGCUGACGAGUGGCGAACGGGUGAGUAAUACAUCGGAACGUGCCCAGACGUGGGGGAUAACGAGGCGAAAGCUUUGCUAAUACCGCAUACGAUCUAAGGAUGAAAGCAGGGGACCGCAAGGCCUUGUGCGUUUGGAGCGGCCGAUGGCAGAUUAGGUAGUUGGUGGGAUAAAAGCUUACCAAGCCGACGAUCUGUAGCUGGUCUGAGAGGGCGACCAGCCACACUGGGACUGAGACACGGCCCAGACUCCUACGGGAGGCAGCAGUGGGGAAUUUUGGACAAUGGGCGAAAGCCUGAUCCAGCAAUGCCGCGUGCAGGAUGAAGGCCUUCGGGUUGUAAACUGCUUUUGUACGGAACGAAAAGGCUCUGGCUAAUACCUCGGGCACAUGACGGUACCGUAAGAAUAAGCACCGGCUAACUACGUG